rnacentral:rRNA from 1 species
UCCACGCUGUAAACGAUGGACACUAGGUACAGGGAGUAUCGACCCUCUCUGCGCCGAAGCUAACGCGUUAAGUGUCCCGCCUGGGGACUACGGUCGCAAGACUAAAACUCAAAGGAAUUGACGGGGGCCCGCACAAGCAGCGGAGCGUGUGGUUUAAUUCGAUGCAACGCGAGGAACCUUACCAAGGCUUGACAUGUCGGAAGUAGCGACCCGAAAGGGAAGCCACCUGUUAAG